AUUGAACGCUGGCGGCAUGCCUAACACAUGCAAGUCGAACGAGUGGCGGACGGGUGAGUAAUGUCUGGGAAACUGCCUGAUGGAGGGGGAUAACUACUGGAAACGGUAGCUAAUACCGCAUACCAUCAGAUGUGCCAAGAUGGGAUUAUCUAGUUGGUGGGGUAACGGCUCACCAAGGCGACGAUCCCUAGCUGGUCUGAGAGGAUGAACAGCCACACUGGAACUGAGACACGGUCCAGACGCCUACGUGAGGCAGCAGGGGGGAAUAUUGCACAAUGGGCGCAAGCCUGAUGCAGCCAUGCCGCGUGUAUGAAGAAGGCCUUCGGGUUGUAAAGUACUUUCAGCGGGGAGGCGUUACCCGCAGAAGAAGCACCGGCUAACUCCGUGCCAGCAGCCGCGGUAAUUC
rnacentral:rRNA from 1 species